GAUGAACGCUGGCGGCGUGCUUAACACAUGCAAGUCGAACGGGAUCCAUCAGGCUUUGCUUGGUGGUGAGAGUGGCGAACGGGUGAGUAAUGCGUGACCGACCUGCCCCAUACACCGGAAUAGCUCCUGGAAACGGGUGGUAAUGCCGGAUGCUCCGACUCCUCGCAUGGGGUGUCGGGAAAGAUUCAUCGGUAUGGGAUGGGGUCGCGUCCUAUCAGGUAGUCGGCGGGGUAACGGCCCACCGAGCCUACGACGGGUAGCCGGCCUGAGAGGGCGACCGGCCACAUUGGGACUGAGAUACGGCCCAGACUCCUACGGGAGGCAGCAGUGGGGAAUAUCGCACAAUGGGCGCAAGCCUGAUGCAGCGACGCCGCGUGCGGGAUGACGGCCUUCGGGUUGUAAACCGCUUUUGAUCGGGAGCAAGCCUUCGGGUGAG
rnacentral:rRNA from 1 species